rnacentral:lncRNA from 1 species
ACUCCCCGGCCAAGGACACUGGGAGGAAACAGAGAGGCUGGGAACAACCUCGAUGUCUUGGUCAAGGCGCGGGUCUGCGGCGGGGUGAACGCGCAAAGGGGGAGACAGCAGGCAAAAGGUGAACCGGAGGAAGCCGGAGCCCGCGGCGGCGGCGGGGCUGGAGCUGACCGGGCGAGGAAACCCGAGGAAAAGAAGUCACAGACUGACCCUCUGGAGAGUGUGUUUGAGGAACGGGUAAUAGCACCCCACUCCAGUACUCUUGCCUGGAAAAUCCCAUGGACGGAGGAGCCUGGUAGGCUGCAGUCCAUGGGGUCGCUAAGAGUCGGACACGACCGAGCGACUUCACUUUCACUUUUCACUUUCAUGCACUGGAGAAGGCAAUGGCAACCCACUCCAGUGUUCUUGCCUGGAGAAUCCCAGGGACGGGGGAGCCUGGUGGGCUGCCGUCUACGGAGUUGCACAGAAUCGGACACGACUGAAGCGAUUUAGCAGCAGCAGCAGCAACCUUACCCCAUUUCCUUGAUGAUACUGUUAGGAAUGACAGAUUGCUUAUGUGAUCAAGAUGUUUGUAUUUUGCCCCCCACCAACUAGCCAGCUGUUUCUUUUUUCCCAAUAGCUACCCAAGCCUCAGUGCUUAAUGUGGUUCCCAAAACACAGGGCCUUGGGCAGUUGCCUGCAAUUUGCCGUAGGUUGCUUGGCAUUAACACAUACAUUCUUAUUUCUAUGACAACAGUAUUUCUACAUGUAUAACUCUGGUGCAGUUUAGAAUGAUGCUGCAAUUUCUAGGGACCUCUGCCUUGAGAUGUAGAUCAUCUGACAGUAAAAUCAAAAGGAAUCUAUCCCCUGGGGAAAAGCAUAUGCCUUUUAGAUAAGCAUGGAAGUAACCAUCAGCUGGGCUUCCUUGCUGGCUCAGUGGUAAAGAAUCCACCUGCAACACAGAAGACACAAAUUGGAUGGGUCAGAGAGAUGCCCCCCCCACCCCCGGGGAGGGCAUGGCAACCCACUCCAGUAUUCUUGCGUGGAAAAUCCCACAGACAGAGGAGCCUGGCGGGCUGCAGUCCAUAGGGUCACAAAGAGUUGGACACGACUGAAGUGACUUAGC